rnacentral:rRNA from 1 species
CACUGAAUGGAGGACCGAACCGACUUACGUUGAAAAGUGAGCGGAUGAACUGAGGGUAGCGGAGAAAUUCCAAUCGAACCUGGAGAUAGCUGGUUCUCUCCGAAAUAGCUUUAGGGCUAGCCUCAAGUGAUGAUUAUUGGAGGUAGAGCACUGUUUGGACGAGGGGCCCCUCUCGGGUUACCGAAUUCAGACAAACUCCGAAUGCCAAUUAAUUUAACUUGGGAGUCAGAACAUGGGUGAUAAGGUCCGUGUUCGAAAGGGAAACAGCCCAGACCACCAGCUAAGGUCCCAAAAUAUAUGUUAAGUGGAAAAGGAUGUGGCGUUGCCCAGACAACUAGGAUGUUGGCUUAGAAGCAGCCAUCAUUUAAAGAGUGCGUAAUAGCUCACUAGUCGAGUGACACUGCGCCGAAAAUGUACCGGGGCUAAACAUAUUACCGAAGCUGUGGAUUGUCCUUUGGACAAUGGUAGGAGAGCGUUCUAAGGGCGUUGAAGCAUGAUCGUAAGGACAUGUGGAGCGCUUAGAAGUGAGAAUGCCGGUGUGAGUAGCGAAAGACGGGUGAGAAUCCCGUCCACCGAUUGACUAAGGUUUCCAGAGGAAGGCUCGUCCGCUCUGGGUUAGUCGGGUCCUAAGCUGAGGCCGACAGGCGUAGGCGAUGGAUAACAGGUUGAUAUUCCUGUACCACCUAUAAUCGUUUUAAUCGAUGGGGGGACGCAGUAGGAUAGGCGAAGCGUGCGAUUGGAUUGCACGUCUAAGCAGUAAGGCUGAGUAUUAGGCAAAUCCGGUACUCGUUAAGGCUGAGC